AAAUUCUCCGUCACAUCGAAUCUUUAGACGCAUGCAUGGAGUGUUAAAUAUAAAAAAAAAUAAAAACUAAUUGCACAGUUUUGUCGGAAUUGACGAGACGAAUCUUUUGAGCCUAGUUAGUCCAUGAUUGGACAAUAUUUGUCAAAUACAAACGAAAAUACUACAAUGUCCAUUUCACAAAAAUUUUUAGAACUAAACAAGGCCUA
rnacentral:lncRNA from 1 species